GUCCGUGCCCUAAACGAUGAGUGCUGGAUUUUGGGAGUAUCGACCCUCCCAGAGUCGUUCAAAUAAGCUAACGCGUUAAGCACUCCGCCUGGGGAGUACGGCCGCAAGGCUAAAACUCAAAGGAAUAGACGGGGACCCGCACAAGCGGUGGAACAUGUGGUUUAAUUCGACGGUAAGCGAGGAACCUCACCAAGGUUUGACAUGCAACUGCAAAUCUCCUGAAAGGGAGACUCCUUCGAGGGUGUUGCACAGGUGCUGCAUGGUUGUCGU
rnacentral:rRNA from 1 species